GGCUAUGUAUCUAUGGGUUGUAUCAACAAAUCGAGCACUGAAUUUAUACUCACGUCAAGGAUAUGUUAUUACAGAAAAUAAAACUUGUUGUUUGAAAUGCAUGUUAGGUGUAAAGAAAGCGUCACGAAUGGAUAAACCCCUGUGAUAUCAAGAAGCAAAACAUAAUUCUGUAAACAUUUUUGUGACAAGUAUGACGAAUUUAUCCUGCCUGAUCACUGAGUCUGGAUUAGUAAAUACCUUAGUAGAUCUAAAACACAUUGACAAUUCUAACCUAAUGAUCUUCAAUUUCUUAAGAACUAACACUCAGCAAGCAAUAUAUAUACACACUUUAACAAAAUUUAGGCUGAGUAACCACAGCUUGAGAAUAGAAACUGGGAGAUAUGAACGAAAACUAAAUACAAUCUCAGGAAAACUUGAGCUUCUGCCCAGAUGUGGAAUGCUCUAUCAACACUGUUCACAUAGCUUGAACUGCAUUUUGUUUUAGAGUGCUCUCUGUAAUAGUUAUCCCAUGAGGACGCAGUAUGUCAUUGUAAGAUCAUCCCGAUGGCCGGCGGCCGGAGGAUUAUCUUACACUGACACACAAAUUCCGAAUGGGAUAACUAUUUUACAUCCCAGCUGUUCUAGAUUAUAUAAAAAACCAUUUACGCUUCAUAACAUCUAGUUUAGAACGCCACACAAUCAUUAUACUAUACUUUAUAUAUUACUAUAUAGUAUAUACCAUUUAUGAGCCCCGGACACAAUGUUUAAAUAUGUUAAAUUAACAGAGAGUUUAUAUCCAGUCGUCCUGAUGUAGGGGUGUGAAUCAUGUGUCUAUAUUCUAAAGGUCUUGAGUUUUAUUGUGGAUUUGACAUUUCCGCCAAAAUGUCACAGAACAAAGGAAAGCACGCAGAACAAAGAAACUCGGCUAGGCUGCUAGGGUGAUCUGGUAGGGGUGGUCCGGCUCAGCUAACCCCUGGUAGAACAAAGGAGCUGGGAUGUAAAUAUAUAUCUUUUUAUCUGAAUCAUGACAAAUAAAGAUUUGGAUUUCAAUACAGUUUUUAGUCUGUAUCUAAAUAAAAAAAAGUUCAGUAAGACGGAGGGGGAAAAGGCACAAGUUAAGGUGAACAAAUAGAGUUAGCCCUCUUUUUACUGGCUCUCUCCCUUCAUGCAUAUAAGAUUUUAAUCAUGGUUCUAUAUUUUGUAUUUACUCAUUUACUAAUUACUAGUAUUAAUAAUCAGUAUGUAUGUUAGAUUGCAUGUGUUGUUUGUGUGGAUAUUGCCUUACCUUAACUUUGUGAUUCAGUGUAUUGAUUAAUAAUACUCUUGAUGGGCCCUUUAAUUAGUAAUAAAGACAUUUGAUUGGAUUUGAUUUCAUAUACAUGUACAUGCAGUAGUGUCUUUUUGAAAAUACUGACAAUGAGGAAUUAUUUUAUGUCGUACACAAAUUUAAUGAUGGGAUAUGAUUUUACAGCAUCUAUUGCCAUUAUACCAACCAUCUGCUAAUAUCCAUUAUAUAUAAUACAUUCAAAUAAAUGCAUUCAAAUAAUAAUAUGUUGUGGGGAUGUAUAAGUACCCGUCCACGUCAACUCUGUGUUUUUGUUAGAUGUAUUUCUAUUUGUAUACAUCUGAUGAGUUAAGCAUUUUUCAACUGAUUUUUAUAGUUUGUUCUUAUGUUGUACUGUUACACCACUGUCCCAGGUUAUUGGAGGGUUGAGCGCUCACAAACAUGUUUAACCCCACCACAUUCUUUAUGUGCCUGUCCCAAGUCAGGAGCCUGUAGUUCAGUGGUUGUCGUUGGUUCAUGUCUGUCAAAUUGUUUUUUUAUUAACUAGGCCGUUAGUUUUGUCAAUUGAAUUGUUAAUUUUUUUUUCAUGUCGGGGCCUUUUAUAGCCUGUCAUACGGUAUGGGUUUUUCUCAUUGUUGAAGGCCGUACGGCUGCCUAUAAUUGCUUACAUCCACUUCAUUUGAACUUUGGUGGAUUUUUGUCUCAUUGGCAAUCAUACCACAUCUCCUUAUUUUUAUAUAGGUAUACGGAUACAAUAUAGGAAGAAAUAACGUUUAGCACCACCAUGCCACUUUACUAAUUGAUUGAUAUUUUACAAUGCGAGAUCGCUUUAUUUUUACUUGAAAUUAGCAGCACGACGGUUCACACUAGUGGAGCAGGAACUGUUUUAACUUCAGAGCCCGAGUACAUUCCCGAUUCAUUGCGGAUUUCGUGUGCUUAAUCUUUCUAUUCGAUAAUAUUGUUUACAAAUUCCUUAAUAUCAGUUUGUGAGGGAGCCUAGAGUGUUAAUAUAUGAACAAACUCAUUCAAGAUAAUUUGUAUUACUAUGAUAAAUAAAUUGUUUAAUGGUUAUUGCAUGAAUGUGUUCUUAAUAAAUGGACCUGUUUUUG